rnacentral:rRNA from 1 species
GACGAACGCUGGCGGCGUGCUUAACACAUGCAAGUCGAACGGAAAGGCCCUGCUUUUGUGGGGUGCUCGAGUGGCGAACGGGUGAGUAACACGUGAGUAACCUGCCCUUGACUUUGGGAUAACUUCAGGAAACUGGGGCUAAUACCGGAUAGGAGCUCCUGCUGCAUGGUGGGGGUUGGAAAGUUUCGGCGGUUGGGGAUGGACUCGCGGCUUAUCAGCUUGUUGGUGGGGUAGUGGCUUACCAAGGCUUUGACGGGUAGCCGGCCUGGGAGGGUGACCGGCCACAUUGGGACUGAGAUACGGCCCAGACUCCUACGGGAGGCAGCAGUGGGGAAUAUUGCACAAUAGGCGGAAGCCUGAUGCAGCAACGCCGCGUGCGGGAUGACGGCCUUCGGGUUGUAAACCGCUUUCGCCUGUGACGAAGCGUGAGUGACGGUAAUGGGUAAAGAAGCACCGGCUAACUACGUG